AAAGCAAAGCACUGAAAAUGCUUAGAUGGUUUUUAACAUAAACCCAUAAACA
rnacentral:tRNA from 1 species